UACGGGGGGGGGCAAGCGUUGUUCGGAAUUACUGGGCGUAAAGGGCUCGUAGGCGCCAACUAAGUCAGACGUGAAAUCCCCAGGCUCAACCUGGGAACUGCGUCUGAUACUGGAUGGCUUGAAUCCGGGAGAGGGAUGCAGAAUUCCAGGUGUAGCGGUGAAAUGCGUAGAUAUCUGGAGGAACACCUGUGGCGAAGGCGGCUAUCUGGUCCAAUUCUGACGCUGAGGCGCGAAAGGUAGGGGAGCAAACAGG
rnacentral:rRNA from 1 species